GCCCCCAUCGUCUAGCGGUUAGGACACGGCCCUUUCAAGGCUGAAACACGGGUUCGAUUCCCGUUGGGGGUA
rfam:Rhodospirillales bacterium B29T1 genome assembly, contig: Ga0116950_103